AGGCUUUCUUGGCCAGUUGGCUGAAGUGAAGUUUAACAUCUGUUAUCAGUUUAAUACCUGAUAUAUCCUUUAUCGGGGGAUCACAGUCCACAUUAUUAAGUGGAUAGAUAAUUUAAUAGGUUAUUUCUUCCCCCUCCCUGUGAUUUACAAUCCCAAGUGAAACUGGUACUGGAGGUUCUUUCACUUUACCAGACCAAUC